AAUUUUUUACAGCUACAGAAUGGUCCUUUCUUUAUAGGAUAUAUGAUUGUUUCUUGAAAAAGGAUGUUAUGCCUGCAAGUUGUGCAGGCUUUUGUUUCUAUGAGUCUGUAGCACAAAUUACCGCACUUCUGUGGUGCUGUAUGCCAUACAAUGAAUCUUCUUGAACAAGAAAUGAGAAGAAACUCCACUUUUUACUGAGAGAGGACUUGGAAUGCUCUGGCCUGUCCACAUCCCUUUACUUGCAAAUGAUUGAUAUCACUGUGGUUUCAUGCAGUGAAAUAAUCACUUAUGGAGGAAAAUGGGCUCUGUCUAAAGAAACACGGUCUGAAACUAUCGGGGUGUAAAUAGUACUGUUUUUGUCAUCAAGUGUGACUGGGAAAAGGUCAUGUUAUGCCAAGAUUUACUGUAAAUUGUUAGGGAAUAGGAUGGGUUUGGAUUUACAGUUGACAAGCUUGACAAGACUUGGAAAACUAAGGGGGGGAAGCCACCCUUAGGGUACAUAGGUGAGGAGUGGCACAGAAUGGUGAUAAAGAUUUUCUCCUGAUCAGAAAAGUUUCUGUAAAAGCAAGUUUUUGUUCUCUUGAGCAAAGAAGCGUAUUAUGUUCUCAUUUUAAUCAACAGUUAAGAUACCGUUAUGAGGUAGACUUAAACUGGACAACAAUGUAGUUACUGAAACAUUUCCCUGUGGAAGGAGGGAAUGUCUUGUAGUGGUGAGUGUUAAACUUCUUCAAACUCUGUACUAGCCUCAUUUUGUUCUGUGCUUCUAAUUGUAUAUCCGCCGAAUGGUGACACCUAACUUUGCAGAUCUGUUGUCAUCCUGAGCAGCAAGAUGUUACCGAUAGAAUUAAAACCCUGUUCAUUAAUGUAGAAACUUCUCACCUGCAUGCUGAAAAUACAACCCAUUGCAGGAUGUGGAAGCACCGUUACAGGACACUACUGCAUGUUGCUAUCACUGGCUCAUUUUUCUAAACAUGCAGAUAUAAUGUGCAGAUGCUUACCUCCACAUGAGACUUGUGGAAUAAACAAACAGCAGUGUUACCUGUCAAAACAUAAAAAUAGUGGGCGCCUGAGGUUUGUGUAAGUGCCAUACAGCCAGCCCGUGUUUUCCUCAGGUAUGAGUUCAGUGGAAAUGUGAUACAAAACGCAGCACAAAGCUCUUCGCACUGCUGGCCCCAGGCAAGCUGUUACAGCACAGGACACGUUCAUGUUGGAGAUAGUCACGCUGAGCUCCCUGUAUUGUCAGUGGAGUGAAGCAGGCACUUUGAGAGGAGUCACCUGACCUAUUUUAAACAGUUACUCAAGUGAGAUGAAUCACGUUCCUUUCUAUAAAAACUCUUGAUAUGCUCUUCACUGACUAGCUGAGAUGCAGGUUAUUGUAAAACUCCAGUUUUUAUUAUAGUAGAGUACCUUUGCAUUUGAAACCCUAGGGUACAGAAUGCUAAACUGUGGCUCUUGAGGUUUUUUUUCUUCACCUUCAAGCCUGGCUCACCUUCAUGGUCAACAUGAUUCAGAUAGAAAGGGACUUCUGUAGCCAGUCUAAUGCAAGUGCUUCUGGGUUAUCUCAGUUCCCUACUCUAAAAGGAAAUUCAUUGAUGUCUCCACCUGUACUGUGAGCUGUAUGCAGCUGACAGUGUGUCCCACAGUCCUGGUUCCCUCAUUGUCCUCAUUAGACAACACAUAUAGCUCCUUAUACACCUGUGUUCCCACUCUGAAAAGGAGAGAAAGAAAGAAAGAGGGAUAAUGAAAGAAGCAAAGAAAGAAAGAAGCAAGGAAGGAAGGAAAGAAGGAAAGAGAGGCUUUCAUGGCGUGAUGGUGCAUACUCAGUCUCAUCUUCACUGGCCUUACAACGUAAACACAAUUUCUGGAAGUAGCUGAACGGUGAACCUCAACUUGCCAUGGGGCUGGAAAGCCAUAGCCAUAGCUAAACUACAGACCGUUCCCAGAGAGAAACCUUCCCUUGCUCUUUUAGGUUGGGUAUUGCAUGUCUGGUGACUAUUGGCUGUAUGAAGACUUUUGUAUGCAGCUCAGAGGGUCAGAGAAUCUGGCCACUCCUCCUCUUCCAAUGCAUCGAAAUCAAUGGAAGUUUUGCUUGGAAGCUAAAAGUAGAGUUUGAGCCAAUCUAAGAUUGUGCAUGCAAAGGUCUUCUAAAGUUUUUUAGUCAUUCUGCUCACUGAAAAUGCAAAUUUGUUUAGUAAAUACAAUCAUCGUGUGCAUACUGCUAUUUUCUAAAUAUUCAAGUAAUGAGGGUUUCUCAUGAUUCUUUUAAACGACUGUAUCACAGUUUCUUUUAAGUCACCCUUUUUAGGAAUUGUUUUAUAAGGAUUCAGCUUGAAUAAAAACAUCUUCUGCUGAGGAAUAUCAACCCUGAGGCCAAGGGGGCAUGAGGAACCCAGUCUAGACUGUCUGUGAGGCGUCUUAAUGUUAUUUCCUAAGUAACAAAUCUUUGCUCUUGAUCUGAUGUGUUCAGGUUUUACUGUGAAACAUCGCUUUUCUUAGAGAAGUCAGGCUCUUUUUCUCAGUAAAUUUUUCCCCAGGGUUAGCUGUUCUCAGGAAAAUUUUGGUCAGUGAAGGCUUUGAAGGAAAAGACUUUCUGCUGGAAAAGACUGUCUAUUUAAAAAACUCAGACAAUUUUUUUUCAGCACAGUAAGGGUCACUAAAAUAUUUUGGUUUAAUAAUGACAUGAAUUUUCUACAUUUUAUAUUCAUCCAUAGCACUUAGACAAAAUUGUAUGUAUUUCCAUGCUUUCAGUUUUCAUGAAAUCACUUAUUUGGCCUUUAAAACUUUCCAGCUUCCAUGGAUGGAGAGAUCAUUACAAAUUCUUUUCCAUUGAUUUGGAAAACAUUUUAUUAAUCCUAAAAAAAAAAAAAGUCUUCCAUCUUUUGUUUUUUUGCAACUGUGAAAUAUCUCUCUCUCUACUUUGUUUUAUUCUCCUCACCUUUGUAAAAUUUCCCCUAUUAGCAUGGACAAUUUACCACACAAACCACCUAUCCAGCUGCACGGUGAUCUACUAUUCUGUUUCAUUCAUUCAUAGAGAUCUCUCGCUUCCCCCAGUGCAACCCCAGAUUCCACACAAUUCCUGUUUCAGAUCUUCUCCAGUUUGCAGAAUCUAGUCCGCUUUUGCUCAAUAACAACAUGCGAUUUUUUUUUCAGCAGCAGUCUGAGCGUUUUGCACUCACAAUGACAGCGUAUAUAAAUGCAGAUCAGUGUCUCCCUUUCAUUAGGUUGUAUUCCCUUUCCCUCUCAGAAGGUGAUUUCACCAUACCAAACCCAGUGAUAAAGCCCUCCCUAGCGAAGGGGCGUAGGCAGACUUGAAGACUCCAACUUCCUUUUCAGUAAGUGUGGAGUUUUUGCCCAUUUCUUAUUAGAGAAUAUCCUAUGCUAGAGCCCAAUCAAAAGAAGCUUAUUAAAUUGAAUGGGAUUUUUUCCAUAGACUUUUCUAGGUUUUGGAUCAGUAUCCACAGAAAACCAUCUAAUAAAUUAUAGAAUAAUUGAUAGUCGAUGACAAGAGUUUCAAAUGCAGGCUCGCCACAUCACUGCCAGUACUGCCUUGAAGAUAUAGGAGCUAUAUAAAUCUAGGAAUAAUGAAAUCAUCCAUUUUUUCCAGAGACAAAUGCAAUCCAGAAUUGAAGCUGUGAAACCACAUCUAAUGCUAGACAAAGGGAAUAUUAACAUAUGUAUGUUUCCAACUAUAGGGGUAUUUCUUGAACUGUGUGUUCUUAUUCUUGCCUUUCAGACAGCUUUUUUUCAAACCCAGCUUUCCCAAGUGAAGCACUGCACUACACAGGUGAGAAAAAGCUGAUGUAAAUAUGUUAGUGGUCGUUCAUGCAGCCAGACACCAAGGCUUUGCUGAUUUCAUGUGUCUCUCUGACAUCCAGUGAUCUCAGAGGCAGAAUAUAGAUGUUCUGUUGCUAAUACUACUUUGUUCCUCAACCUUUGUCAUUUUGAGUCAUCAUUUUUGUGAUACCUGCUUUUCUGGAGUUCAUUACUUUUUACUGGGUUGCUACUUUUAUCUUCUGAAAAUGUCCGUUAAUGAGAAAAUAUUUACUCUGAAAGUUCAAAUAUUUGUGGUUGCAUAUAGCAACAUACUUGUACAAUCAGACAAAAGAAGUCUGACAGCAUCGCAGAGUUGUGUAUGCUGUUUAUAGUGAUAAAUCUUGUAUGUGGGAUCAGGGUUCCCACUUUUAUACACAGGAAUUCAGGCAAAGGUUAUAAUAUGGAUGUCUGAAAAUUUGAAAAAUUUAAAAAUGAAAGAUUAAGGAUACACUUUUGCAUUAGAUUUGAUGGAGCAGAUCUGUUUUUUAUGCCUAGUUACUUUGAUCUUGAAAGGGUUGCUCAUAUUCCCAAAAUAUGCUCACAGAAUCAGGAGUUCUCCCCAGAAAAAAAAGUAAAAAUAUCCUUGGGAGAGUGAAAAGGCAAUUACUGCACAUCAGUUUUAACUUGUAAGGGUGCACAGACACACAUGGCAAGUGUCAUAUUAUAGACAUAAAGUGGAAUUUGUGGAUUUUAUUAUCAUUUAUGCCCUCAUUUCUUGAGAACCUCUGCUCUGCAGCAAGUCAGAGAAGGUGGGUUCUAUUACAUGGUGCUGCCAUUACACACAGAUGUGUAUGUCAUCAUUCAGUAGGUGAAAAAAACAAUAAAAAGUACACAGGAUCAAUACGAAUGUUGUAGAACCUUUUAAUUUUCAUUAGGAUUUUCUGUAGAUAUUUUUGUUUCUUGAGAACAGAAAGUUUACUGAAAAUGAAAUAAAGAUGUUCUUCCACAAGCAAAAGACAGGGCUAGAUUUAUAACUUCUCCCUCUUUUUUUUUUUUUCCCCCUCCCUAAAUAGUUGUUUACCCAUUUUGAUGAAAUGAUCGAAAAUUCUAUGUAGAGCAAAAAAGAUGGUCAAAUAUUCCUCUGCUAAGUACAACGACCUCGCAGAGUUAUGGUCCUUAGGUCUCACACAAAGAAAAGGGCAAUAGGCUUUGAAGCAACCACGACGAAUGGGGGGAAAAAGGGCAUAACUGAAGACCACAUACAGACACUGGAUGGUACACCAAUAGAAGGAAUGUAAAACUUGCCAUUUUAUCAUCGUAAGGGGGUAAGCCAAGUACUAUGAUAUAGACAAAUUUGUGAUACUUUUGGGGCACCUGACCUCCUCCAGUUUCCGUGAACUGUUACUUUAACAGAGACUUAAAGCAGCAAACAUUCAUCUUCAGAAGUCCCUGUAAUAAGAUAUGCAUCGAACAAUGUCAGCUUGAAUUAAACUCAUGUGACUGAAAACACUGGGUAUCUAAAUUACAUCCUAUUCACUUGCUUAACUUGUUUGUAUGACCUGUAAAAUUUAUUUUUAUGUAAAAUACAGUAUAAAUGCCCUGAAGCCCUUCAAAAGGAGAUUAAGUCCAUGCCUAACUGUAAUUGCUUUUGUGGAUUUUAGUCAGACCCUAUAAUAUAUGUGAUUGUAAGUUAUUUUAUGUACUAUAUGAUUAUUAUAGAUUGCUAAAAAAGACCCAUAUUUAAGAAAAUUAAAAAUAAAUGAAAAGGUUAUUUUCUUAGUUGGUGGCAGACAUUCAAAAUCUGCUUGUAAAUGAGUGUAUUUUUAAAACCAAAUACAAAGGAUCCCUUUAAGUAUAUGUUUUCUUACCUUGAGGCUUAGACUGAAGUUUUUGUGUAUGAUUUGUUGAUACAAAGGUUAGAUCUGGCUUCAAAAAUGGCAAAGUAUCUUUACGUAAAGUCCAAAUACGUCAGUGUUCAUACACUACCCCUUUCUAAGACCUUGCAGAACCCAAAUGAAAAUGUUUAUUUAAACCUGUUCCCUCACUUCAGAAAGCCAAAAAAAGAAAUACAACAAAAUUCAAACUGCAACACCUUAGUUGGAUCUUUUUCCAUGACGGUCAGGCAAAAAAGCUGUUUCCAACAUUUUUAAAAGAAACCAGAACUCUUUAGCUUAUCUUGGUAACAUGGUAUGGUUCCAUGAAAAACUACAGCCUCUGUAAUUUUUGUUUUAUAUGUGUGCUCUCUGUUUGUAUAUGUAUAUGUAAAACUUCACAUAGACUUGCAUGAAAAGAUAUUUCAGGUAUAUUGUAUGGGAGGUGUGUAUGAAUGCUUGAAUUAUGACCAAUUGUCACCAUGCUGUAGUUAAGGUUGUUUUCUGUUUAUAAGAAAAAUUGUCAGCUGAUCCAAAAUUUUCAGAAUAUAAUAAUAGUUUUUAAAGCAACAGAAAAAACCUCAGCUAAGCAAUUAAAAAUUCUUCCUCAAAAUUUAUCAGUUUAAAUUUAUACUUUCUGAGUCUCCUAGUGCUGUAAGAAAUGGUUGAAUGAAAAAAUUUCCUAGGUUAUGACUUAUGUCUUCAGUACAAGCUGUGACUGUAGGAUCUGUGACAUUGCAACACCUCUUUUCACAAGGGGCUUUUUUUCGGGAAAAGAAUUAUAUUUAUGCAAUCCCCCUAAAAGAAAUGGAAAAUUAGAUAACAAAAAUGUGCAGUUAUGGAUCAGCUAAAGUUAUUCUACCUAA